rnacentral:rRNA from 1 species
AGAGUUUGAUCCUGGCUCAGGAUGAACGCUGGCGGCGUGCUUAACACAUGCAAGUCGAACGAACCUUUCGGGUUAGUGGCGGACGGGUGAGUAACGCGUGAGAAUCUGCCCUCAGGAGGGGGAUAACGGCUGGAAACGGCCGCUAAUACCCCAUAUGCCGAGAGGUGAAAUGAAUUUCGCCUGAGGAUGAGCUCGCGUCUGAUUAGCUAGUUGGUGGGGUAAGAGCCUACCAAGGCUUCGAUCAGUAGCUGGUCUGAGAGGAUGAUCAGCCACACUGGGACUGAGACACGGCCCAGACUCCUACGGGAGGCAGCAGUGGGGAAUUUUCCGCAAUGGGCGAAAGCCUGACGGAGCAACGCCGCGUGAGGGAUGAAGGCCUCUGGGCUGUAAACCUCUUUUAUCAAGGAAGAAGAUCUGACGGUACUUGAUGAAUAAGCCACGGCUAAUUCCGUGCCAGCAGCCGCGGUAAUACGGGAGUGGCAAGCGUUAUCCGGAAUUAUUGGGCGUAAAGCGUCCGCAGGCGGCCUUUUAAGUCUGUCGUUAAAGCGUGGAGCUUAACUCCAUUUAAGCGAUGGAAACUGGAAGGCUAGAGUGUGGUAGGGGCAGAGGGAAUUCCCGGUGUAGCGGUGAAAUGCGUAGAUAUCGGGAAGAACACCAGUGGCGAAGGCGCUCUGCUGGGCCAUAACUGACGCUCAUGGACGAAAGCCAGGGGAGCGAAAGGGAUUAGAUACCCCUGUAGUCCUGGCCGUAAACGAUGAACACUAGGUGUCGGGGGAAUCGACCCCCUCGGUGUCGUAGCCAACGCGUUAAGUGUUCCGCCUGGGGAGUACGCACGCAAGUGUGAAACUCAAAGGAAUUGACGG